rnacentral:tRNA from 1 species
GUUAAGUUAGUUUAAUACUAAAACAUCAGCUUGUGGAUUUGAAAAAAGGAAUAUAUUCCUACUUAACC